AGCAGCAUCAUUUUCGUUCCCCCGCUUUCUUUCCUUCUUUUGGGGCCGCACGCAAUUGGCGUGCGUGCGCCUUUUCCCGUCCCGCGGAUCGGCCGGUGCACGGGCAGUUCGGGCGCCGGUGGUGGUCAGCCGGUCAGGUGCGCCGAACAGGCCGCCGGCCAGAAGAUCCGGCUGAGGAGCAGGCGCCCAUUUUUGCCAGUCGCCGCUGCUGGAGCGUGGAACAGGAUGCUCGCUUUCUGCGUCCGUCUUUCCAUCGUGCGCCGGGGAUUCGAAGCAACGCCGUUCAGUUCUUUCAAAGGUCACGGAUCUUUUUUGUGUGUGUGUGUGUGUGCGCGCGCGUGUGUGCUGGUCGUGAACGCGUCGAGAUUUGUUCAGUAUUGUAUUUGCAGCAAAGCGAGCACUGCUUUUUUUUUCGUUCAGGAGGAGAUCAGGACUGACUGACACUGACUGGUUAGCAUAUAUCCGUUGUAGUAUACUCUCAGCAUGAACAGCGCACUGUCACAGCACGAACGUUUGCAGUGCUAGCUCUCUAUUACACUAGUAGGAGUACUUGCAUUUACGCCGCUGUUACGGAAUACCGGUACGGGCUGUCCUCACUAGCGCACUAAUACUAGAAUUAAGACGGACAUAAUUCGGGGAAGGGAUGUCCUGGGAAGGCCAUCAAUACGACCGUUACCAACAUCGCAUUCUCCAAUCUCCAGUGACGAGAGUGAGCAGACAGAGAGUGUGUCCGCAGACCACAGUCGUCCUCGAUCUACCCUGUGAUUGCUACUACGGCGCAGUAAAAUUUACCGUGAAUUCACCUGAUCGUUCCACUUGAAUACAUUCUUAUUUUUCCCUUUUUUUUUUUGAUGAUGAAACGGAUUCAGCUAGGGUAAAUUCGGCAUUAUUCAGAGGUGGUAAUGAAUGCCCGUGUGAAACCGUUACAGAGCUUUGUCCGAUCUACCGGGGGCCGCUUGUCGAUUCAUCCGGCCUUACCUUACCCCUGCCUUCAAAAUGUGACAGCCACAGCCAGCAGAAAACCGCCAGUUCCAUGGGGGUAAUCAGUUCAACACCUUCAGCAGAGUCCAAACCCCCCAAGAGGUUAGGACAACAAAGCUUGGUCGCAACCACACGUAAAACAGGAGGUGCGGUUCAAGUUUCUACUAGUAGUACCAACUAACAGCGAUACCUUUCUGUCCUCCGUUUCAUUAUUACAGUAAUUUAUUAUUUACAAAUGCGAAAGGCAUUGACUCGGCAGACGGCAGCGACCGGCAGGCACAGCACAGGCUUCUCCGCCCGCCUUCAGCAAAAGUCUCGUGACGACGCCGGCGGAAAAGCACGAGCGCACCACCACCGCGCCCCGCCGGCUUUCUCUUUCUCACUGCUUCCACUUUCUGAAUUCCCAACCUUCGUUCAUGCACCUUCCAGUACCAGGGCAUGCUGCUAGUGCUAACGACAUUUUUGAUAUUUUGACGGCUAGUUCUAUAGUGUUUUUAUUUAUAUUUGAUAAAUAUUGUUCAAUUAGGAUGAAUUAGGCUUAAAAAUUCGUCUAGUAAAUUAUAAACAAACUGUGUAAUUAGUUUUUAUUUAUUUAUACUUAAUGUUUUAUGUAUUUGUGUC
rnacentral:lncRNA from 1 species